AGGCUUCCUGACAGUUCCUUUCCACAUUUAAAACAGAAAAUGUUAUCAUCUAUAUUUCCACCUGAAAGUUUAUUUAUGGUAAAAAUUAUGCACAUUAGUUUAAUUAAAAAUGGUGUACUGUCAUUCACAAUAUAUGUUUUGUUUGAUAUUAUAUGUUUGUGUCUUUGCAACAUUAGUAUAUUAUUUGUAAACUUAUUUUAUUGUGGUAUUGGGGAAGAAGAUUCAGUGUUUCAUAUAAUAUAAUAUUUCUAUGUAUUUGCAGGUUAUAUAAAAUACCGAAUUUCUGAAAUAUAGUAUGUUCUCUGGGGUUCAUUAACUUGAGAAUCCCUAAUUUUGCACAAAUUUUAAACUUUUUUUUAUCAUGAGAUAGCUUCAAUUUUUUCUUUUCCAAUUGCAGCUACAUAUAGGAAAAGCUUUUCACCCAAAUUCUUGGAACCCAGCCCAUGACAAUUAAGCCACAAUCUACAGUAUCUGCUUUGGUAUAAAUGACAGCAAUAGAGUCAAUAUUUUCUUUAAUCACUAUGUUGGAACAAGGUCCACUUGGAGGAGAGAUAAAGUCUUGUCCCUGGUUGGUCUGUUUUGUAUCAGAGACUCAUGGGUGGAAUUGCAGGCUUUAUUAUAUAAGCUUUGUAUUGUAAGCACACAUUCAUGUCAGUAAGCAGAGAAAGCAGUGAUGACUCUAGGUGGGCUUCUGGGGCUUGUUCUCUCAUGUCUGUUUCUUCUUUCACUAUGGAGGCAGAGCUCUGAGAGAAGAAAGCUUCCUCCUGGCCCCACUCCUCUCCCAAUCAUCGGAAAUAUUCUUCAGGUAGACCUUAAGGACAUCAGCAAAUCACUGAAGAAUCUUUCAAAAGUCUAUGGUCCUGUGUUCACUCUGUACUUGGGCAGAAAGCCUGCUGUGGUGCUGUAUGGGUACGAAGCUGUGAAAGAAGCCUUCAUUGAUCAUGGGGAGGAGUUUUCUGGAAGAGGAAGCAUUCCAGUGUUUGAUAAGAUUAAUAAAGGUCUUGGCAUUGUUUUCAGUAAUGGGAAGAAUUGGAAAGCGAUGAGGCGCUUCUCACUCAUGGCUCUAAGGAACUUUGGAAUGGGGAAGAGGAGCAUCGAGGACCGUGUUCAAGAGGAAGCUCGCUGUCUUGUGGAGGAAUUGAGGAAAACCAAUGGCUCACCCUGUGACCCCACCUUCAUCCUGGGCUGUGCUCCCUGCAAUGUCAUCUGCUCCAUUGUUUUCCAGAAUCGUUUUGAUUAUAAAGACAAGGAUUUUCUUACCUUAAUGAACAACUUAAAUAAAAAUGUAGAGAUUCUGAGUACUCCUUGGAUUCAGAUUUGCAAUAAUUUUCCUGCUAUAAUUGAUUAUCUACCAGGAAGACACAGAGAGUUACUUGAAAAUUUCACUUUUUUAAAACAUUAUUUUUUGGCAAAAAUGAUAAAGCACCAAGAAUCACUGGACAUUAACAAUCCUCGGGACUUUAUUGAUUGCUUUCUGAUCAAAAUGGAGCAGGAAAAGAGCAACCCAAAGACAGAGUUUACCUGUGAAAACUUGAUCUUCUCAGCAGGUGACCUGUUUGCUGCUGGGACGGAGACAACAAGUACAACACUGAGGUACUCCCUGCUGCUCCUGCUCAAGCACCCGGAAGUCACAGCCAAAGUCCAGAAAGAGAUUGACCAUGUGAUUGGUAGACACAGAAGCCCCAGCAUGCAGGACAGGAGUCACAUGCCCUACACUGAUGCUGUGUUGCAUGAGAUUCAGAGAUAUAUUGAUCUCCUUCCUACCAGUCUGCCCCAUGCAGUAACCUGUGACAUUAAGUUCAGAAACUAUCUCAUCCCCAAGGUAAGUCAUCCCCAAGGUAAGUUUCCUUUGACUACAUUAUACCUUAAUGGUCUCUCUCUUAAAUGAGUGAGUGAAAUUAAAUCAUAAACCCAUGAUAUUGGAGCUUGAAAUUUCAGAUUAUUAGUGUUGAAGAGGAAGUUAUGAAACCCUUCAGGGAGAUUAAGCCAACCGAGCCACAAGUUGUAUAUUCACAAGCAAUCUGUACUAGAAUUCUAGAAUUCUUUUUUUUUUAAAGAUUUAUUUAUUUAUUAUGUAUACAACAUUCUGCCUCCAUGCCAGAAGAGGGCGCCAGAUCUAAUUACAGAUGGUUGUGAGCCACCAUGCGGUUGCUGGGAAUUGAACUCAGGACCUUUGGAAGAGCAGGCGGUGCUCUUAACCACUGAGCCAUCUCUCCAGCCCCUGUACUAGAAUUCUUAAGAAUUUAUAGCAUGAUUGGUCCCAAUUUGCUGCCCCCACCAGGUAAGAGAAAUACAAACACUUUAAAUCUUGGAGCUGGAUGAACUUUUUGCUAUUUUCAUUAAGAGCCAAUAAAAUUAUGAAGCAAGUCUUAAUUUGUAGAGCCUUCCAAAUUUACUCUCCAUUUAAAGUUGCUCUUGACUGUUUACACUUUGAAAUAAAACUUAAAGUUCAGAUUGUCAGUCUUUGAAAAGACUCUCCUAGGGUUUUAUUAGGAUGCUAAGAAGUAUAUAGGCACAUUUAGAAAAUUUAUAUAUUGAUCCAUUAAAUCUUUCAGUUUAUGUAAUUAGGUACUAAGUUUUGGGGUUAGUUUGUAUGUCAUUGUUCUCUAGUAGUUUGUUUCCAGGUAUAACUUUGGAAGAAAAAAAUGGACAAAGAAUAUUCUCUAGGACUCAUAUAUUAUAAGGCAGGGAACCACUGUCAUAGCAUCACUGUCAUCUGUGCUACAUGAUGACAAAGAAUUCCCCAACCCAGAGAGGUUUGA